rnacentral:rRNA from 1 species
AUUGAACGCUGGCGGCAGGCCUAACACAUGCAAGUCGAGCGGAUGAAGGGUGCUUGCUCCUGGAUUCAGCGGCGGACGGGUGAGUAAUGCCUAGGAAUCUGCCUGGUAGUGGGGGAUAACGUCCGGAAACGGGCGCUAAUACCGCAUACGUCCCGAGGGAGAAAGUGGGGGAUCUUCGGACCUCACGCUAUCAGAUGAGCCUAGGUCGGAUUAGCUAGUUGGUGGGGUAAAGGCCUACCAAGGCGACGAUCCGUAACUGGUCUGAGAGGAUGAUCAGUCACACUGGAACUGAGACACGGUCCAGACUCCUACGGGAGGCAGCAGUGGGGAAUAUUGGACAAUGGGCGAAAGCCUGAUCCAGCCACGCCGCGUGUGUGAAGAAGGUCUUCGGAUUGUAAAGCACUUUAAGUUGGGAGGAAGGGCAGUAAGUUAAUACCUUGCUGUUUUGACGUUACCAACAGAAUAAGCACCGGCUAACUUCGUG